rnacentral:rRNA from 1 species
UACGUAGGUGGCAAGCGUUGUCCGGAUUUACUGGGCGUAAAGAGCGCGCAGGCGGUCGUGCAAGUCGCGUGUGAAAGCCCCCGGCUCAACUGGGGAGGGUCACGCGAUACUGAUCGACUCGAAGGCAGGAGAGGGUAGUGGAAUUCCCGGUGUAGUGGUGAAAUGCGUAGAUAUCGGGAGGAACACCAGUGGCGAAGGCGACUACCUGGCCUGUUCUUGACGCUGAGGCGCGAAAGCUAGGGGAGCAAACAGG